CACCGCGGUUAUACGAGAGGCCCAAGUUGAUAGACACCGGCGUAAAGCGUGGUUAAGAUUUGUACAAAAUAAAGCCGAACACCUUCAGGGCUGUUAUACGCACCCGAAGGCAAGAAGAUCAACUACGAAAGUGGCUUUACAAUCCUGAACCCACGAAAGCUACGACA
rnacentral:rRNA from 1 species